AUUACUCUAUGAAUAAUCACACAUCUCCAACUCUUUUUCUUACUUCUUAUAUUUUUCAAAAAUGAGUUCAAGUCGCUUUUUGUCAUAUUCUAUUCAAGAAGAUAUACAAUUGUGUCAUGUGUAUCUCGAUGUUUCCCAAAAUUCAACGAAGACCAAAAAGAUCUUUACAAACUCGAAUGACGUCAAUUCUUUCUGCAGUCUCAAAGCUGAGAGGAUGCGUUAACCAAAUUGAGAAUAAAAAUCCUAGCGGUGCUUCUGAAGAAGACAUUGUAAGUACUCAAUUAUAAAUUCUUGUGUUUACUAACUUAUCUUUAUUAAAUUAUUUGUACAUGCUAACUUAUUU
rnacentral:sRNA from 1 species